UACGUAGGGUGCAAGCGUUGUCCGGAAUUAUUGGGCGUAAAGAGCUCGUAGGCGGUCUGUCACGUCGGCUGUGAAAACCCGAGGCUCAACCUCGGGCCUGCAGUCGAUACGGGCAAACUAGAGUACUGCAGGGGAGACUGGAAUUCCUGGUGUAGCGGUGAAAUGCGCAGGUAUCAGGAGGAACACCGGUGGCGAAGGCGGUUCUCUGGGCAUUACCUGACGCUGAGGAGCGAAAGUGUGGGGAGCGAACAGG
rnacentral:rRNA from 1 species